AGAGUUUGAUCCUGGCUCAGGACGAACGCUGGCGGCAUGCCUAAUACAUGCAAGUCGAGCGGAAUGAUGAGAGCUUGCUCUCUGAUUUUAGCGGCGGACGGGUGAGUAACACGUGGGCAACCUGCCCUACAGAUGGGGAUAACUCCGGGAAACCGGGGCUAAUACCGAAUAAUCAGUUUGUCCGCAUGGACGAACUCUGAAAGACGGUUUCGGCUGUCACUGUAGGAUGGGCCCGCGGCGCAUUAGCUAGUUGGUGGGGUAAUGGCCUACCAAGGCGACGAUGCGUAGCCGACCUGAGAGGGUGAUCGGCCACACUGGGACUGAGACACGGCCCAGACUCCUACGGGAGGCAGCAGUAGGGAAUCUUCCACAAUGGACGAAAGUCUGAUGGAGCAAUGCCGCGUGAGCGAAGAAGGUUUUCGGAUCGUAAAGCUCUGUUGUAAGGGAAGA
rnacentral:rRNA from 1 species